rnacentral:rRNA from 1 species
UGAAGGCGGUCCCAAGGGUCCGGCUGUUCGCCGGUUAAAGGGGUACGUGAGUUGGGUUCAGAACGUCGUGAGACAGUUCGGUCUCUAUCCGCCGCGGGCGCAGGAGGCUUGAGGGAACCUUUCCCUAGUACGAGAGGACCGGGAAGGACAGACCUAUGGUGUGCCAGUUGUUCCGCCAGGAGCAGCGCUGGGUAGCCAUGUCUGGCAGUGAUAAGCGCUGAAGGCAUCUAAGCGCGAAGCAUCCCCCAAGAUAAGGCUUCCCUUCCCUAUUUAGUUAGGGAGUAAGACUGCAGAGAGACUAUCUGCUUGAUAGGCCGGAAGUGUAAGAGUAGUAAUAUUUUCAGCUUACCGGUACUAACCAGUCGAGAGGCUUGACCCAU